AACGCAUCUUGCGCUCCUUGGUAUUCCGAGGAGCAUGCCUGUUUGAGUGUCAUUUGACCUUCUCAACCACAUCGUUCUUGUUUUGAAUGUGUGUGGCUUGGAUGUGGGGGAAAUAAUUUUAUAUUUUUUUGCAGGCUUCAAAUCAAGAAGCCAGCUCCCCUGAAAUGCAUUAGUGGUGUCUGAGCUGCUAUUGGUGUGAUAAAUUAUCUAUGCCUUUGGUGAUGCUGGUCAGCACCGCUUAUAACGGACGGUGAUCAUUUGACAAAUUUGACCUCAAAUCAGGUAGGACUACCCGCUGAACUUAA
rnacentral:misc_RNA from 1 species